AUGAAUAGAGACAUAACAUGUGGUAUAUCCACACUGGAUAUGCUACAAUGGAAUGUUAUUCAGCCAUAAAAAAAAAUGAAGUAUGAGACAUACUACAGCCUGGAUGAUCCCUGGAAACAUUUGGACUAAGGAAGGAGUUUUAGAGAGUGGGAGUAUGAAGUUGAAGAUGCAUAAACGCUAACACCCAGCAACCACCCUUCUUCCUGCGUAUCUUCAAGAAACCCUCCUGCGCGCACAAAGAGAUAUGAGGGGAAUGUUCACAGCAGCACUGCUUGGAAUAGCAGCAAGCCAGCUGCUAUGUUGUGAGGAUAUUCAAGCUGCCCUAUGGAGAGGCCCACAUGGUGAAGAACUGAGGCCUCCAGCCAACAGCCACAUGACUUCACCGUCUUGGGAAAGGAUCCGCCAGCCCCAGUCAAGCCUUCAGAUACCUGCCGCCCUGCUCAGCAUCUUGACUGCAACCUCAUGA
rnacentral:lncRNA from 1 species